CUUGGAGCCAAAAUAGAUGUUUCCAAUCUCAUCCUUACCCUUAUACUUAUUGUGGGCAAGAUAAAAACCCUUAAUUUUAAGAACUCAAGCCAAGCAUUGGGUAAGAGGCAGUGUGGCUCCCCAAACUGUGCUGGUCAUGGGAAAAAAAUCAUAUUACUUUACACUCGUUCAUUUUUUUUCAGUCUCUAGAAAUCAAAUCCUGCGAACAUGAAACUUUAAAAAAAAGUCUCAAAUAUUUUGAUAGUCUAUUAUAAAUCAAGUUUUAAUAACUAGAGGUACGUACAAGAACAAUCAAUAAAGGUGAAAAUACUCACUGGUUAAAUAUUUCUGAGCUAUUGCUUUCUCUAGGUAGGUCAGCCUAAGAAAAUCAGCAGACGUCUUCCCAUUUCGAAGCAUCAAAGACGCUGCUUCUGCUUUUAGCUGUGUCACCCUCCCCCCCUUUUUAAUUAGCAAGAUUUGAGAUCAUUUGGCCAGUUGUAACCAUAAAAGGGAGUAGGGUGGUCGGAUGAUGUCUUAUCACUUGACAAAUGCGUCUUGCCGCCUCUGUCCUUGGGUACGUCAUCAGCAUCGUCACUCCUCUUCCUCUUCGUCACAAUCCGUCAUGCAGUUGUCCUUUCAUUGAAAUCAAAAGCUAUCUCUCAAUUACACAGGGAUGGGUUAUAAAUCUGGCCACCCAUCUCUCGAUACGUUUGUUUCCUCAUGAUGACCGCAGUGGCCCUAUUUUGAUACACAAAAGACCAAAGUGGAUUUUACCCAGUUAAAAUCAAGAGUUGCAAAACUGCACAGCCUGGAAGAAAAAACAAAGCGAAAUACAUGUGUCCAGUUUACAAAGACAAUGUGACCUUGGGUUGAUGGGAUAAUGCAGAAGAUGUCACCUCGGCGGCCUUGGAGAAGGGGACGGGAACUGCAUUUCCUCCCUCGAUGGGGUUAAAUUUAGCAGUUGAGCUCAUACCUCCAAUAGGAAGAGGGAAACGCAGCAGUUGGUGGUGUUACAGGGAGUGUCACCUUUGCAGCCCAACUUGCAGCAAAUGGACUUGCGUUAAGACUCUGCACAUCCUGGUAAUUAAUCACGACUAGGCACCGCCUCGUAAGCAUUAAACACACUCUAAAUGGGGGAAAAAUCGCUGUAUUGUUACGCACGAAGAUGUGAUUCAUUCAGUAUUAACUUUCAGCCUUUAUUAAAGUGGUUUUAAUUCUAUUUGUGUGAUGUUCCCGCAUUUCUGGAGAAAUAAACACAGAGUUUUUUUGUUUUUUUGUUUUUUUUUCUGCUCACGGUACGUGAUAUGCCACUUACUCAAACUGCAAGCUGUGGGGCGUGUUGCACAUGAAAUGAAGAUUCUUUUUUUUUUUUCUUUUUUUCUUAAGCUGAUUAUAAAAAGAAAAAAAAGACCAUGGAGGUAAAUUGUAUUUCAAUGAACUGUGAAAAUAAAGGUGUACUGAGGGUAGCGUGGGGGCAGGUGCUGGGUGGGGGUUCAGGUGUGGGCACUCAGACCAGGAUGCCCAGAGUCUAGGUGGGAGGCUGUGAGGACUCAGGUCACUGAGAGCAGAUGAGAGUGAGGGCUGGGGAGGUGAGGGUGGAUUCAGAACCGCUGGGAAACCCAAAGGCUGGGCCCCCUCUGAGAGGGGUAACUUCCCAGGCACCCAUGGGGAGCUGGCUCAUUGCCGGGAGCCCUCUCCUUGCCCUGUGGGUUUCUGAGUGGUGGAUCUGGCCAAGGGCAGGAUGCUGCCUCUGGGAAAUGGCUCCAGAAGGGGCCCUCUCCCCGAAGGGGGAGUGCGAGCCAAUCCAGCCUGAGCCAGCCCUGCAGCCCUGGGUCCCCAGCGUGGGUCUGCAGCACAUGCUAAGCGCUGGCGACUGGAGGAGGGGCUGGGCACUGCUGUCCUUUGUUCUGAAUCCCUCUGCAUGGGACUCGCACUCCCAGCCCCUCCCACCAGAGGCCCCUGGCCCUUCAGCUGAGACCACGGCCCUGCCAGGGCCCAGAGGAAGCCCUCGGAGCCCGCCCUCCUCCUCAGAGAUGUCCAUGGGCCCUACGUGGCGCCAGGCUCCGUGCAGACCGCAGGGACGCUGAGAUGCCUCGGCCAGGCUGGUGGGGAGCCAAGAACAAUGCUCUCUGGGUUGGUUCUAAACGGCCCCUUCCCCGGCCCUUCCCUUCCCUCCCCUCCCCCGGUGACCAUAAAUGUUCCAGCCUUAUCUAUUGACGAUUAUAAUCAUACAAAGUCAGGACAGAUGGGCUCUGGUCCUCAGCUCACGGCCAUAAAGUUUACAAACUCUCCGUGGCCGGGGGAUAAAUUACCAUGGCUGAUACCUUGCUCGUUUACACAGAGCAUCUGUCUUCGAGACGGCCACUCUUCCCUUUCAAUCAUCCGGCCAAAGAAGUCUUCUGUUCAACCAACCUGAUUUGCUAGAACACGCAGGAUCCUGGGAGAUCCGAAGACCAGGCUAGAAACGGCCAUAAAUGAUGAGGCCAAAAGGUUAUUUUUGAGCACUAAAGGAAAGCCUAACUUCUCCUCGGGAGAAUCCCUGGGGAGACCGACCGAGUAACUGUGUACUCCCACUGGGUUCGGCUCCAUGAGAAAUGGGCCCCCGAUGGUUUGUUUAAAAGUGUAUUGUUGAAGAUAAUGGUUUCAGAUUAAGUUUUUAGGCUCCGCGAUCACCGCUGUUGUUCUGCGGACUAAUUAUGUCUACCUUAGGUUCCCUAAUGUGGGCCAAUCAAGUUCGCCAUGUGGGAUUGAUAUUUCUAGUGGUUGUUUUCUUAGAUUCCCCCCAACAAGGGUACCAGAGGGUAUUGUGUAACCGUAUAGAAAAGGAAUGAUUAAUUCAAAGUUCAGGUGCAAGAUGGGGUCAGAAAAGAAAGGUUCCUGGAUAGAGUGAGCAUUUCAAGAGGCAUUUGUGGCUUGAAACAUCAUUUUAUGAUGCAUUUUCUAUUUUGUUUUCCGGGGAAGUCUGAAGGCUGACACGCACGUGAUCGCAGUGUUUGGCGCCAUGCUCCGUGAUGGGCUUUUCAUAAAAAUUAGCUGACAUUGUCAUGAGCACACAAGGAAAUUUAUAGCUUUCAUACUGGACUGCCAUUCCCAGAGCAAUUUCCAAUCACUUGGGCUUUUUAUUAAGUUUAUUGUUCUUUUAUUGUUCAGUGGAGUGUAAGCAGUGAGAUUACAAAUAACUAGAAGUUCCACUGGGUAUGAAGGCGAGCUCGUAGAAUUAGGAGAGAAGCAAGUGAAGGAAGGCAAACAUUAAUUUGAAUCACCGGUGAUAUGAAACACCACCAAUGGACGUUUCUUGUCACCUGCUUAUACACAGAAGUCAGAAAACUGACAUUCCAUUCACAUUAAAGUUUUCCCAGAAAAACCUCCAAGAAGUCUUUGUGCUGAAACUUGGUAGUGCACGUAUUACUUUGCAAGGUGAGACAAGGGCAUCUUUUUGCCCCUCUUCCGAGUUCCUUUUCAGUUGGUUGGUACUAUUGUUUUCUUCUUGCUGCCCCCACCCCGCCAGGUGUGUCAUGAUGGCAUUGUGAACAUUCCCUUCCAAACGCUGGUGAGAAAGCUCGAGUGGCCGGCGUGCCGGCGAGUCCCACUUCUGGAAACAAAGCGACCAAUGGGAGACUAACCAACUUUCUUCCAAAGCUUGAAUCUAGAACCAUAAUCACAGGUGUUGAUUGGAAGUUGUUAUUUAAGGCUUGUUGAGAUGAGAACAGAGGUGACUCAAAGGAAGGGGACGUUGUGCCUCAAGGCCCCUCUCAGAUCUCAGCAUGCAUGAAGUCUCUGUGUUACGCAGACCUAGGCUCUGUGCAGCCACCCUGCCACCACGAGGCAAGGAGAUGCAGGACGUAGGCUGAUGCACCGAGAACGGAGACUGGAAAGACUUGGCCGUACCACUUGGCAUUGCUCAGCAAGGGGACUAACGCUCACCUCCCUGCCAGGUUUUUUCGCGAAAACCAAACCUCUGUCCCAGGCUGACCAUCAUUCGUGGGUGUGCUACAGAGCCAGACUCACUUGGGAAGUAUGCUCAAACACAGAUUCCCAGGCCCCAGCCCCAGAAAUUCCCACUCAGGAUGUUUGCAACUGGGCCCGGAGUCAGCACUUCAAACAACCAUCUCAGGUGUCUUUAUGCACAAUACCCUGACCUAGAUCGCAGCAGAGACAGGAUGAAGGGGAACCAUUCAGCUGGGGCAACAUGAGCCGACUGUGUGUCUCCCACCUGCCUGCCGCUCUCUAGGCAGCCAAGUAGCACCUGCAGCGCUUGAGACCCAGGUUCAGAGCAGGAGGAAAUAAAACGGUUUCCGUCCAGGGUGAGGGGCGGGCCAGAGAGUUCCGUGUCCCUGCUCAUCCCUCUUCUUAGUCCUGGCAGUGACCCCACAGGGUCAUCCCAAGGGGCUGGUGAACGUGGGGCCCCAGAGGACAUUCCCCUUCACCCUGCCCCCUACCCCCAGCCAUCGAGCCCCAAGAAGCCCGGCCGACUCCAUCCAGUGAGAAGCAGUCGCGGCUCCUGAAUUCCAGACAGGACCUCCCAAGUGUUGCAGCCUGACUACCUCAGCGGCUUGGGAAGUGGUUUUCGAAGCUGUCUGGCCUCCCCUUUGCAGAGAAGAGGAAGAGGGACCGUGCCGGCUCAGGGAGGGCUGGAGGUAGGAGGCGACCUGGGGAGCCGCCCUUGGUCUCUGCAGUCAGGGCUCGAGGCCAGAGGAGGAGGACCAGACAAGCCCUGACUGCAGGAGGCCCACUUACCAUGUGUCAGACGGCCACAGGCUUCGAGGAUUACCUGAAUGCGGCUUUCUUUAAACCCACACCUUUGACUUACAGUAAAAACUGACAUUCAGUGUAUGAAAGAAUAAGUAUAUUCUUGGGAUAUAUACGAGCAAACCCCAAGGAGACCCUAAUUAGCAGAGCUGGGUGCAUCUGCAGCUGGGGCACAACCCUAUCAAAAUGGCCCUAUGUAAGCAAGUGGCUCCGUGCUCUCACUGGACAGCGGACAGCCCUUUCUCCAGGAACGGAGGCCUGGCCCCGGGGCGGGUGGACUGUCCUCCCACCCCUGCUCUAGCCUGCAGCCCCCGGAGCAUUAUUCCAGACCCACAGGAGUGGACGCUCGUGGGAGGUGGGACGCCGCCUUCUUUACCCUGUGCCCUCCGCGGGCAGAGUGGGCUGCAGGUUCCUGCGGGCCGAGGGAGGGCGGACACCACGGGCGAGUGGGUAGAAGACUUUGUAGCAGCAUAGAAAUCACCUCUCACCCACCCGGACCUUCCAGGACCCCCAAAGCACAGGCUCUGUUUCCCUCAUUUGUCUCGAGACAGGGCAGCCGUUCUGUGCAGAUGCUGCGGCCUCCGGAGUACUGGCGUGGCUUCUCCCCAUGACCACGGCAUCGCCUUCCUUGAGGACCUGCCGACGCUCCGGGCCAGCCCGUGUGUCCAGGAGGGAGGGCACAGUCAGGGUCCUGGGAGCCGGUCGCUUCUCCUGGAGGCUCUGACCCCACUGCUCCCCCCGCCACAGGGCCCGGCCUGGGGAAGCAAACAGUUGGUGCUUGAUGACGACUCAUGAUUGACCCACGUGAAUAAUCACUGAGGCACGUUUUCAUAAGCGAGUAGACCCUCACCCACUUCCAAGGAGACGCUUACGAACCACAAGUGUGAAGAGAGAGAGGAGGUCCCUUGUCUCACUGAGGUUUUCACCAUUUCCAGAAAACAGCUCCUUCUCCGUCUCAGCUCCUUCUGAAGACGGCCAGCUCUACCUGUCCCUCCAGGUUCCCCGCCAGCAUCUGAGAUUCCACACCUGGAUGGGAGCUGGGGACGCACCUCUGCCUAACCAGGGACUCCUUCCGUGCCCGGCCUCGCCCGGCUCGCCGUCCGCAUCCUCCCCCAGCCAGCCCCCCUCUGCCUCAUGGCACGUGGUCGAGGCCUGUCUCUGCUGCUCUCCCAUCAGACGCUGCCCUGGAUCCCGGGUGGAACCUUCAUGCGGCCCCACCGCGUGUCAAAACCAGAGAAAGCUCCUUACCCACACGCCCAGGACACCCUCGUGCUGUCCAACUGUCCAGCCGGCCUCCUCUCCCCAACCACUCCACCUGGGUCUGGCGAACUCGCCACAUCCCAGCGGCCUCACGCAGACACACCACGACUUUGGACAACGGGUACUGGCACCUUCUUGGCGAACCUUCCCUCCCCCCAUGACCUUCGACCUGGCAUCUCUCCAGCCCUCUAAGGCCCUUCCCUUCCUCUUUCCUGAUCUUCCCACCAGAGGGAAUGUUCUCCCUCCCCUGAACCCCACAUGCUGCCGAGAAUCUGUAUGCCACCCCAGCUCCUCCAUCUCCCACUCGCCGCAUCGGCAGCUCCUCCACGCCAGGCGCUGUGAAUUAUCAACUGGGUCACGAGCCCCUGGAGGACAGAAGCUCUCACUUAUUCCUCAUUAUACUUCCCUGGGCCUGGCCGGGUGCCUGGUUUACAGGAGGUUUUCCAAAACUGUUCUCUGGAAUAAAAUUGAAUUGAAUACAGGAGAGGUUGUAUUUAACGAGAUAGCAUUUGUAAAAUGUUCACCAAAAUAACUCAGAGUAGAGUCCCCUGGUGGAUCAGUGGGCUAAGGACCAGGCGUUGUCACUGCAGUGACACAGGUUACUGCUGUGGCACAGGUCACUGC